AUUGAACGCUGGCGGCAGGCCUAAAACAUGCAAGUCGAACGCCCUAGCAAUAGGGAGUGGCGCACGGGUGAGUAACACGUGGGAAUAUGCCUUUUGGUACGGAACAACGUUUGGAAACGAACGCUAAUACCGUAUGGUCCCUCCGGGGUAAAGAUUUAUCGCCAAAAGAUUAGCCCGCACUAGAUUAGCUAGUUGGUAAGGUAAUGGCUUACCAAGGCGACGAUCUAUAGCUGUUCUGAGAGGAAGAUCAGCCACACUGGGACUGAGACACGGCCCAGACUCCUACGGGAGGCAGCAGUUAGGAAUAUUGGACAAGGGGCGCAAGCCUGAUCCAGCCAUGCCGCGUGAGUGAUGAAGGCCUUCGGGUUGUAAAGCUCUUUAGCCGACGAAUAUAAUGACUGUAGUCGGAGAAUAAGCCCCGGCUAACUUCGUGCCAGCAGCCGCCGUAAAAC
rnacentral:rRNA from 1 species